AGAGUUUGAUCCUGGCUCAGGACGAACGCUGGCGGCAUGCCUAACACAUGCAAGUCGAACGAGAAAGUUCCUUCGGGAGCAAUUAAAGUGGCGCACGGGUGAGUAACGCGUAGACAAUCUGCCCUUCAGUCUGGGACAACUUUUCGAAAGGAGAGCUAAUACCGGAUAACAAUGCAUGACACAAGUUGUAUAUUUGAAAGCUUUAUGUGCUGAAGGAGGGGUCUGCGUCCCAUUAGCUAGUUGGUAAGGUAAAGGCUUACCAAGGCAACGAUGGGUAGCGGGUUUGAGAGGACGAUCCGCCACACUGGAACUGAGACACGGUCCAGACUCCUACGGGAGGCAGCAGUGGGGAAUAUUGCACAAUGGAGGAAACUCUGAUGCAGCAAUGUCGCGUGAGUGAAGAAGGCCCUUGGGUCGUAAAGCUCUUUUAUGGGGGAAGAUGAUGACGGUACCCCAAGAAUAAGCACCGGCUAACUAUGUGCCAGCAGCCGCGGUAAUACAUAGGGUGCGAGCGUUGUUCGGAAUUACUGGGCGUAAAGGGCGCGCAGGCGGAAUAGUAAGUCGGAGGUGAAAGCCCGGGGCUCAACCCCGGAGGGUCUUUCGAAACUACUAAUCUAGAGAGGGUCAGGGGCCGGCAGAAUUCCUGGUGUAGAGGUGAAAUUCGUAGAUAUCAGGAGGAAUACCGGUGGCGAAGGCGGCCGGCUGGGGCCACUCUGACGCUGAGGCGCGAAAGCGUGGGGAGCAAACAGGAUUAGAUACCCUGGUAGUCACGCCGUAAACGAUGAGCACUGGACGUCCGGAGGGUUCGACCCUUCUGGGUGUCUCAGCUAACGCAUUAAGUGCUCCGCCUGGGGAGUACGGUCGCAAGACUAAAACUCAAAGGAAUUGACGGGGACCCGCACAAGCGGUGGAACAUGUGGUUUAAUUCGAUGCAACGCGAAGAACCUUACCUGGGCUUGACAUAUUUAUGAAAGCUUUGUGAAAGCAAAGCCCUCUGCGAGCUUGCUCAAAGACAUAAUUACAGGUGAUGCAUGGCUGUCGUCAGCUCGUGUCGUGAGAUGUUGGGUUAAGUCCCGCAACGAGCGCAACCCCUGUCCUUAGUUGCCAGCACAUUAUGGUGGGGACUCUAAGGAGACUGCCUGGGAUAACCAGGAGGAAGGUGGGGAUGAUGUCAAGUCAGUAUGUCCCUUAUGUCCAGGGCUACACACGUGUUACAAUGGUUGGUACAAUGGGCUGCGAAACCGCAAGGUGAAGCCAAUCCCCAAAAACCAACCCCAGUUCGGAUUGGAGUCUGCAACUCGACUCCAUGAAGCAGGAAUCGCUAGUAAUCGUGGAUCAGAACGCCACGGUGAAUACGUUCCCGGGUCUUGUACACACCGCCCGUCACGCCAUGGAAGUCAGUAGUACCCGAAUCGGGUGGCCCAACCUUAGGGAGGGAGCUCGUUAAGGUAAGACUGGUAACUGGGGCGAAGUCGUAACAAGGUAACC
rnacentral:rRNA from 1 species